rnacentral:rRNA from 1 species
AUUGAACGCUGGCGGCAUGCCUUACACAUGCAAGUCGAACGGCAGCACGGGUGCUUGCACCUGGUGGCGAGUGGCGAACGGGUGAGUAAUACAUCGGAACAUGUCCUGUAGUGGGGGAUAGCCCGGCGAAAGCCGGAUUAAUACCGCAUACGAUCUACGGAUGAAAGCGGGGGACCUUCGGGCCUCGCGCUAUAGGGUUGGCCGAUGGCUGAUUAGCUAGUUGGUGGGGUAAAGGCCUACCAAGGCGACGAUCAGUAGCUGGUCUGAGAGGACGACCAGCCACACUGUGACUGAGAGACGGCCCAGAGUCCUCCGGGAGGCAGCAGUGGGGAAUUUUGGACAAUGGGGGAAAGCCUGAUCUAGCAAUGCGGCGUGUGUGAAGAAGGCCUUCGGGUUGUAAAGCACUUUUGUCCGGAAAGAAAUCCUUGGCCCUAAUACGGUCGGGGGAUGACGGUACCGGAAGAAUAAGCACCGGCUAACUACGUG